ACUGCUCAGUAACACGUGGAUAACCUGCCCCUGGGUCCGGCAUAACCCCGGGAAACUGGGGAUAAUACCGGAUAACGCAUAUAUGCUGGAAUGCUUUAUGCGUCAAAUGGAUUCGUCUGCCCAAGGAUGGGUCUGCGGCCUAUCAGGUAGUAGUGGGUGUAAUGUACCUACUAGCCGACGACGGGUACGGGUUGUGAGAGCAAGAGCCCGGAGAUGGAUUCUGAGACAUGAAUCCAGGCCCUACGGGGCGCAGCAGGCGCGAAAACUUUACAAUGCGGGAAACCGUGAUAAGGGGACACCGAGUGCCAGCAUCAUAUGCUGGCUGUCCAGGUGUGUAAACUACACCUGUUAGCAAGGGCCGGGCAAGACCGGUGCCAGCCGCCGCGGUAACACCGGCGGCCCGAGUGGUGAUCGUGAUUAUUGGGUCUAAAGGGUCCGUAGCCGGUUUGGUCAGUCCUCCGGGAAAUCUGACGGCUCAACCGUUAGGCUUUCGGGGGAUACUGCCAGGCUUGGAACCGGGAGAGGUAAGAGGUACUACAGGGGUAGGAGUGAAAUCUUGUAAUCCCUGUGGGACCACCUGUGGCGAAGGCGUCUUACCAGAACGGGUUCGACGGUGAGGGACGAAAGCUGGGGGCACGAACCGGAUUAGAUACCCGGGUAGUCCCAGCCGUAAACGAUGCUCGCUAGGUGUCAGGCAUGGCGCGACCGUGUCUGGUGCCGCAGGGAAGCCGUGAAGCGAGCCACCUGGGAAGUACGGCCGCAAGGCUGAAACUUAAAGGAAUUGGCGGGGGAGCAC
rnacentral:rRNA from 1 species